rnacentral:lncRNA from 13 species
AUGAUAUCUAACAUGUUACUUUUACCUGCUUUUAACUUUUAAAAUGUAGCUAUUAGAAAACUUAAAAUUUUAGAAAAUUACCAAAAUUCAAAAACAUAUUUAUACAUAUAUCAUACCAUAUCACAUAAUAUCAAACCAUAUCCCAUAAUUUAUCUUAGACAGGGCUAGACUAAAUCCACCAGAAAGCAGAGAAUGUGGGAAUCUGUUGAUAGAGUUAAUUACAGGCCAGCCUCCUGCAGCGCAGAAAAGAUUGGAGAAGGAGGGUGAGUGACCCUCGGGAGAACAACAGAGAUGUUAAUAAAGAACACUAAACCUAGAAAGAUUUACCCUAAGUAAGUGGACAUUUUUUCUUGGUGAUUUCUAAAUGUUGGUCUGUGAAGUAAUUUGUUAGGAAACUUGUCGGGACAUUCUAUAUUACAUGAAGACUAAUAUAUAUAUAUUUUUCUUUUUUUAACGGCAGAGAAGGUGGAACACAUAAUCAGCCGAGUCCUUUCCAAUUCUAAGUUUUAAUUUUUAUGUGUGUUCCAUUUUGCUAAAUUCUAAGUAUAAACUGAAAUUUAUAUUAUGCAAGUAUAUUUAGGUAUUUAAGGGACAAUUAUAGCAGUCCUACAAGUAGAAGACAUUUUUUAUUUUAUUUAUUUUCUUUCUUUCUUUUUUUAAGAGAUGGAGUCUUGCUAUGUUGCCCAGGCUGGAGUGCAGUGGCUAUUCACAGGCGCGAUCCCACUACUGAUCAGCAUGGGAGUUUUUUUUUUUUUUUUUUUUGACCUGCUCUGUUUCUGACCUGGGCCAAUUCACCCUCCUUAGGCAACCUGGUGGUCCCCAGCUCCCAGGAGGUCACCAUAAUGAUGCUAAACUUAGUGCGGACACCUGAUCCGCAUAGCACACUACAGCCCAGAACUCCUGGACUCACGCAAUCCUCCAGCCUCAGCCUCCCGAGGAG